GAAAAAAAUUUUAAAAAAAUAGAAACUUUUUCACUUGGAAGAAACACAUUGUUUUUUAUUUAAAUUGAAAGACACCGGAAUUUUUAUCUCAAUUAUAAAUGAUGAGUGCGAAACAACCAAUUGGACAUGUCAACAUGACAUCAGAAUAUACAAAACCAAAGGAACUGCAUGAGAAAAGGGAAUCGACUGGGCAUUACUACUUGAGUUCAGAACCCACCCGACCGAAAACAGUAGAAAAGAAGCAUGCUGAAGGACAUAAAGACAUGGGGGUGCAUCCGAAUCGACAUGCACAAGACCCAACUUAGACAGGUAGAGAUAAUGUAGGACACAAAGAUAUAUCAAGCCAAAUUAAUAGAGAGAGGCAAACAGAAAAGUUACCUGCCGGUCAUAAAUUAAUUGGUUCACGAGGAAGUGCCACUAAAGAAGUAGAGAGACGCUCAGGUUCCAUUGGCCAUCAUUCUAUGAAUUCACGUGGUAGCAGGCAACUGCCCAAAACAAUACCACCUAAAGUACCUCUAGGUCAUCGUUCGAUGCAUGUUGAGCAUCCUGAAAUCGUCUCUUCGACGCUCUCACCGAAAGACCACCGUGUCACUUAUCCGAGCGAUUACAAUUAUUUGGCUAAGAAUAGCAGAGGUGAUGGAAAUUUGAAUUUGAAUAAAUACAAGGGUGAAGUUGAACAAAGACAUCCGUCGCAUUUUCAACCGCACCAAUCAAGGAGACACACCGAAGCGAUUUUCAAGCCGACGAAUAGAAUUGUACCCGAAGAGACAAAAUUAGCAGACGAGCUCCAACGCCGGCAGAUUCAACAGCAUGAAAAAAUUAAUCAACGUCCUGACAGUACAAGAAAAAAGAGUAGACAUGUACAUUUUAACAAUCCAAGUUGAUUAUUAUGCAUUUAUUUAACAAAAGUGUUUUUCAAAAA
rnacentral:misc_RNA from 1 species